rnacentral:lncRNA from 1 species
CCGUGGGUGACCCGGAGGCCUGCACACUGUGAAAGGGUAUUUGCAUGGUGGUGAAGGGAUUGCAAAUCUGCCGGAUAAACUGAAGAGACAAAUUGAACAAGUUACUAUCUUUUUCCUUAAUCUGGUUUUCAACACUUUCUGCCACCAUCAGU